rnacentral:lncRNA from 1 species
CGACUCAGAUGAAGGCUGAUCUUGCUCAGCAUUAGAAAUAUCCUCCUCCUGCAGUGGAGGUGCAGCCUCAACUUCAGAAGGCUGACUUUCCUCCUUGGAGAGUUCUUGAGUUUUGUCCUCCUGAGAGAUUUCGGCAGCAGAAUCCUGAGAGAUUUCAGCUGCAGAAUCCUGAGCAUCACCUGCUUCAUGAGGCUCUUCAGUGGGUUGUUCCGUUCCCUCUUUUUCAGGCAACACCUCCACUGAAGCAGG